UGGGGAAUAUUGCACAAUGGGCGAAAGCCUGAUGCAGCGACGCCGCGUGAGGGAUGACGGCCUUCGGGUUGUAAACCUCUUUCAGCAGGGACGAAGCGCAAGUGACGUUACCUGCAGAAGAAGCACAGGCUAACUACUUGCCAGCAGCCGCGGUAAUACGUAGGGUGCAAGCGUUAUCCGGAAUUACUGGGCGUAAAGAGUUCGUAGGCGGUUUGUCGCGUCGUUUGUGAAAACCAGCAGCUCAACUGCUGGCUUGCAGGCGAUACAGGCAGUCUUGAGUACUGCAGGGGGAACUGGAAUUCCUAGUGUAGCGGUGAAAUGCGCAGAUAUCAGGAUGGACACCGAUGGCGAAGGCGAGUCUCUGGGCAGUAACUGACGCUGAGGAACGAAAGCGUGGGUAGCGAGCAGG
rnacentral:rRNA from 1 species